rnacentral:ncRNA from 2 species
CAUCGUUCACCGGGGUGUCCGCGCGCAAGCGGGCUGAGAAUCGGACCAGCGUCCGUAAACCCGCCGAACCUGAUCCGGGUCAUGCCGGCGAAGGGAGUGAGUAAGCCUCUGGC